rnacentral:rRNA from 1 species
GAUGAACGCUGGCGGCGUGCCUAAUACAUGCAAGUCGAGCGAACAGACGAGGAGCUUGCUCCUCUGACGUUAGCGGCGGACGGGUGAGUAACACGUGGAUAACCUACCUAUAAGACUGGGAUAACUUCGGGAAACCGGAGCUAAUACCGGAUAAUAUACUGAACCGCAUGGUUCAAUAGUGAAAGACGGUUUUACUGUCACUUAUAGAUGGAUCCGCGCCGCAUUAGCUAGUUGGUAAGGUAACGGCUUACCAAGGCAACGAUGCGUAGCCGACCUGAGAGGGUGAUCGGCCACACUGGAACUGAGACACGGUCCAGACUCCUACGGGAGGCAGCAGUAGGGAAUCUUCCGCAAUGGGCGAAAGCCUGACGGAGCAACGCCGCGUGAGUGAUGAAGGUCUUCGGAUCGUAAAACUCUGUUAUUAGGGAAGAACAAAUGUGUAAGUAACUAUGCACGUCUUGACGGUACCUAAUCAGAAAGCCACGGCUAACUACGUG